GGUGAAAAAUGAAUGAAGCAAUUAACUUUUAAAAUGGGAGAGGAGUCAUCAUGAAUUUGAAUUGCCUUUAGGGUUUAGGGAUAUACUUAUAACAAAUCAUCUCAUUAAAAUAAAAUUUACUUCACUGGUUUUUGUUGAGCUUGUUUUUCUUUCUCAUCCCCAUGUUAUCUUUAAGUAUUCUCAUGCUGAGACAAAAACCACAGACAUCAUGUAAACACUGACCUUAGUGGUAAAUAUGGGUCAUAAUGAAUCACACUAAUAAAGAUGUGAAAUAAGUUAACUUUAAAGUUCUCUCCAACAAGAAUUUACUUUUCAAGCACAGAUUUACGAGGCAAUUAAAAAGAUAAACAUGAUGCACCGUGUGAGCAGUAAAAAGACCAUGUUUCCACUGACUCAACAAAAUCUCCCCUCGUACCCCUUUCUAAUUUUAUCAUCCAUUUAGCCACAGGUGAGCAGCUACUGAAUAAUGAAUGGCCACUGGUAAUGGGGUACAUUAGUCUCAUGCUCAAAGGUCAUAUAAAUAGAUCUGAUACCUCAGGCCCCACAGGGAGCAGCUCCUGCCAUUCUGGGAGAGCAGGGAACUGGGUUGGGACACACAUACUACUGUGUACAGUCUGUUUUUAGCCACUGGGAUGGAAAAGAUGGAUUCUAGUAAAGUCUUAUGUAAGGACAUGCUCAGAUCUGUGAUGUGGCAUUUAUCAAAACAGAGAGGCGUAUGAGUCAGUGACAGGGCAGACAUUUUUAAUUAUUGCAAAGGUGCACAGCUCUCAACUACGUUCGCAAUGACUUAAUCAAACUGUUUGCAACUUAAAUCAGCUUCUUCAACUCUGUGACUCAGGGUGGCAACAUUUUGUGUAUAGUAUAGACUUAUAAGUUAUAGAUUAUUAGCAUUUUUGCUGUAGAAACUCCGUUCCAUGUCCAUUCACGCUUUCAGCAGAUAACCCCAAAAUACUACUCACAUUUCAUAUCUUUUACACUUGGUAAUCAGAUAAUCCGUGUUCUGAGAGUUCACACAUGUACACAUUUUCAAUGUGGCACCCCUGACUUCUGAGAAUAAGGCAUGUUUUUCUUUGUGGUUUUCCCUUCAGCAGCCUAAAUGUGACAGCCAGCAGCCAACAUGCAGAAAAAAAGGUCAUGUGAGCUUGCAAAAAUAUUCUGCCAGUGCAGAGAAGAAAAAAAGAGGAAACAUGUGAGAGAGAGGAAGAUGAAGUGUUUCUACACCAGCGGACAACGAGUUCCAAGCCCAGCGCGGUGCCUCGCAACAAACCACAAGAGCAAAAUGAGCUGAGUGUCGACCGUAUCGCUACCAGCCCAUAGAUGAGGAGCUCUUCUUUGGUGCAGUAUCUCAACCAAUACGAGAGCACAUCAAGUUUAUCACCUAGCUCGGGGGAGCUGCUGCACCUCACUAGCUGACAGCAAAAGGUGUAAACCAGAAGGUUGUCAAACAGGAAGAAGACGCGCUCCUGGAUGUUGCCGGCUGAGAUUUUAAGAAGAUUUCCAUGAAGCAGUAACUCCGUGCAGAUAUCUGUCAGCCCUCAAUGUGGGAUUGCAGCUGUUCCAGAGCCUCCAGUUUCUCCAUCUGCCUCUUGGUCUCAUUGAUGUUGGAGCAGACCGCCUUCAUGGCCUGCAGAGCCUCUUCCACCGCUGGAUAGUCAGCAUGCUUUUUAGGUG